rnacentral:rRNA from 1 species
GACGAACGCUGGCGGCGUGCUUAACACAUGCAAGUCGAACGGUGAACCUCUUCGGAGGGGAUCAGUGGCGAACGGGUGAGUAACACGUGGGCAACCUGCCCCCGGCUCUGGGAUAACUCCAAGAAAUUGGGGCUAAUACCGGAUGUUCACCGCUUCCCGCAUGGGUGGUGGUGGAAAGGGUUUCCGGCUAGGGAUGGGCCCGCGGCCUAUCAGCUUGUUGGUGGGGUAGUGGCCUACCAAGGCGACGACGGGUAGCCGGCCUGAGAGGGUGACCGGCCACACUGGGACUGAGACACGGCCCAGACUCCUACGGGAGGCAGCAGUGGGGAAUAUUGCGCAAUGGGCGGAAGCCUGACGCAGCGACGCCGCGUGGGGGAUGACGGCCUUCGGGUUGUAAACCUCUUUCAGCAGGGACGAAGCGCAAGUGACGGUACCUGCAGAAGAAGCACCGGCCAACUACGUG